rnacentral:rRNA from 1 species
GUACCUGCAGAAGAAGCGCCGGCUAACUACGUGCCAGCAGCCGCGGUAAUACGUAGGGCGCAAGCGUUGUCCGGAAUUAUUGGGCGUAAAGAGCUCGUAGGCGGCUUGUCGCGUCUGCUGUGAAAGCCCGGGGCUUAACUCCGGGUGUGCAGUGGGUACGGGCAGGCUAGAGUGCAGUAGGGGUAACUGGAAUUCCUGGUGUAGCGGUGAAAUGCGCAGAUAUCAGGAGGAACACCGAUGGCGAAGGCAGGUUACUGGGCUGUUACUGACGCUGAGGAGCGAAAGCAUGGGGAGCGAACAGGAUUAGAUACCCUGGUAGUCCAUGCCGUAAACGUUGGGCACUAGGUGUGGGGGACAUUCCACGUUUUCCGCGCCGUAGCUAACGCAUUAAGUGCCCCGCCUGGGGAGUACGGCCGCAAGGCUAAAACUCAAAGGAAUUGACGGGGGCCCGCACAAGCGGCGGAGCAUGCGGAUUAAUUCGAUGCAACGCGAAGAACCUUACCAAGGCUUGACAUACACCGGAUCGUUCCAGAGAUGGUUCUUCCCUUUUGGGCUGGUGUACAGGUGGUGCAUGGUUGUCGUCAGCUCGUGUCGUGAGAUGUUGGGUUAAGUCCCGCAACGAGCGCAACCCUCGUUCUAUGUUGCCAGCACGUGAUGGUGGGGACUCAUAGGAGACUGCCGGGGUCAACUCGGAGGAAGGUGGGGAUGACGUCAAAUCAUCAUGCCCCUUAUGUCUUGGCUUCACGCAUGCUACAAUGGCCGGUACAAUGGGUUGCGAUACUGUGAGGUGGAGCUAAUCCCAAAAAGCCGGUCUCAGUUCGGAUUGGGGUCUGCAACUCGACCCCAUGAA